rnacentral:lncRNA from 12 species
GCCAGUGACUCUUGGCUGACAGGGACAAGCUGUAGUGGCUGACUGCUUUGUUCUGUUUGACUUGAGGUGGACGUGUUGAUAUCUCACCGGCCAACCUGUGAGGACUUUGAACAAAUGACUGGAAACGAAGAGCCCCAGGGUCGGCGUGAGGCAAGGGAGCUGUUCCAGCCAGAGAUGCUGCAGGACUUCACAGGCUCUUAUACUGAACCUGCUGCAGUAGCAGCAGCAGCAGCAGCAGCGGUGUCGUCCAGAGGUAUGUAUACUCCCCCACCUGAGAAUUGCAGCUCAGAAACUGCUUGGUCCAUCUCCAGCACUGACACAGCUGCUGCUCAGCAACAGGAGAUCCAGGAUGACUCCCUGGAGCUACAGAGGAGAAUGAUGAACAUGGAAAAUCCCAAGAUGCAAUAUAUUGAUGUGGAAAUUAUUGGAAACGCGGAGAAUGAUGAACAUGGAAAAUCCCAGGGCACAAUACAUGGAAUGGGAAAAUACUGGCAGCAGGCAGAGGAAGAAUGAACAGUUCUACAGAAACAGAAGGAAUUAAGCAGAGGAUCUCUAUGAGCCGGGCAGUAGCAGUUAAAGCAGCAGCUGUGGUUUCUCUAUCAGCUUUUAAUUGAAAUAAUAAAGACAUUAAUAAAGCCAAACACCGUGUAGUAAGUGAUUUUGUGGCUGUUUCGUCUCCCCUUGUAGCUGCCGCCAAUAA